UAGGGGAAAUCUUCCACAAUGGGCGAAAGCCUGAUGGAGCAACGCCGCGUGUGUGAUGAAGGGUUUCGGCUCGUAAAACACUGUUGUAAGAGAAGAAUGACAUUGAGAGUAACUGUUCAAUGUGUGACGGUAUCUUACCAGAAAGGAACGGCUAAAUACGUGCCAG
rnacentral:rRNA from 1 species